rnacentral:snRNA from 1 species
AAGCAUCUGGCUUAGGAGAUACCACAAUCAUGAAGGUGGUUUUCCCAGGUGAGGCUUAUCCAUCGCACUCUGGAUGUGCUGAGUCCUGCAAUUAUCCCAAAUGUGGGAAACGCAACUGUAUAAUUUGUGGUAGUGAGGGACUGUGUGUGUGCUCUCCCCUG